UUAAAAGCUCGUAGUUGAAUUUCGGGGUUAGUAGGUUGGUCAUGCCUCUGGUAUGUACUGGUCUCACUGAUUCCUCCUUCCUGAUGAACCGUAAUGCCAUUAAUUUGGUGUUGCGGGGAAUUUGGACUGUUACUUUGAAAAAAUUAGAGUGUUUAAAGCAAGCUAACGCUUGAAUACAUUAGCAUGGAAUAACGAAAUAGGACGUUCGAUCCUAUUUUGUUGGUUUCUAGGAUUGACGUAAUGAUUAAUAGGGAUAGUUGGGGG
rnacentral:rRNA from 1 species